AACGCACAUUGCGCCCUGUGGUAUUCCGCAGGGCAUGCCUGUUCGAGCGUCAGUACAACACUCAAGCUUAGCUUGGUCUUGAGCCUAGCCGGUCACGGCGGGCUUUAAAAUUAGUGGCGGUGCCACCUGGCUCUAAGCGUAGUAAUACUCCUCGCUAUUGAGUCCUGGUGGACGCUGGCCAGCAACCCCCAACUUUCUAAGUUUGACCUCGGAUCAGGUAGGGAUACCCGCUGAACUUAA
rnacentral:misc_RNA from 1 species